rnacentral:lncRNA from 1 species
CUUUUUUUAAAAAUUAAUUUCAUUAUCGCUUAAUUUUUCUCCAGGGAACUAAAGCUGUUGUCUAUGCACUAGGUACAUACAGGUACAGUAUGCUUUGCUGGGAUGGUAAUAGAGGGAAAGGAACCCCGAGACCUCUGCAGCAUUGUUGUGACUUGUUUGCUUCUUCCACCAUGCCUCUGAAGUUUCCUUCAGAUAUUUGUGGUCCAGACAUCGAUCUGAUACAAUUUAGUUAUACCUUCCAAAUACUGAUACAUUUUACUGUGUAGAUCUUGUCUACAUUGAGGAACGAUCAAAAUUGCAAAUAUUUUCUGUCUGCAUGAAAAUUCUUACUGACAGAAGAAAGCAAAAUAUGUAGAUGAAACAUUUAUCUCAUAUAUGCUUAUCUUCAAAGCAGUGUUUCAGUGAAUUGUUUGCUGUACAUUUGUUUAAUCUAAUCCUUGUGCAGUGUAGGAAGGGAGCAUAUUCACCACAAUCAGUUUUCAGGAGAGAGGAAUGCAGUAUAUCUUGAACACUCAAAGCAAUUUCUAGGCCGUGUAGAUAAUCAAUAUUCCACAUUGUAAAAAGUUGAAUAUUUCUAUUUCUCAGUCCCACAAAAAGUUGGAACUUUUUAUUUCUAGAGUACAGUGUUUCAUGACUGCACUUCUUCCAUUACCUGUUUACUGUUGUUCCAGGGAUUUAGGAGAAGUUUUCCAAUUUUCUACAUUACAAGAAGACUUUGUUUAAGCCACUGAGUGUAUUCAUUAGGAAACUCACUCUUCCCUUGGAAAACAUUUGAUGUGGAUUUUAUUAGAAUGAAACAGAUUUUGCACAGUCUGCAGAGCUGAACAACAAAAACAGCAACAACAACAAAUUAAGAUCAGCGUUGUUCAUGUUGAAGCAUAUCUCAAGACAUAGAGGUAAUUGUGUGGAUCUAUGGUAGCGCUGCCUGUUGCAGCAUGCAAGGACCUAACUUUGAUACAAUGGAAGAACACCUUGGAGGAAUGUAUAUGCCCGUGAUCCCUCAUUCAUCUAAGUGAGAAUACUGCUAAGCGAGGAUGAGCUAAGAUUAUUUCUCUAAAGCUGUGGCUCUGAAGGCAAAAUGCAUUAUGUUUAAUUGCUUCCAUCUCGCCACAGGAAUUAAUACUGGUUUGUGAAAGUAAGACUAUCCUAAGUUGUGAGGAGCCCACAGAUUAAUUCUUUCAGAACUGUAGCCAGCAGUGAUCAAGCAAAGUGUUCGAUCACCUGACUUCCACACAACUGCAGGUCAAAAAGCUUAUUGCACAUCAAUAUGGGAAAAAGAGUACAUCCUUCAAGCUCCCCAUUUCUCUGAAAUGUGAAAUAGUGUAUACAAACAUCAAUCUUCAAAGCAGCUCUGCUGUUCUUGGUGGAAACUAUAUAUCACAGACAGAAGUUCAGCUUUGGCUCUUAGCCCCGAAUACAGCAAGCAACACUGCUGAAGUGAUCUAUACCAGGUGAAAAACUAGCAAUGAUAUGUCCCUAGCAUUACAAUGCUUCGUUUUUAGUGUAUGUAUUAUACUGAAUAAUAUUGUUAAAAACCUGGUUCCCUGAUAGUGUAGUUAUUUUGUGAAUCUCAGAUUAAAACCAACAACAACAACAAACAAAACACAAAACCAAGGGAUUUUCUGUCCCUCAUAAUGAAAGAAAAGGCUUGAAAAUAUCACAUCAAGCAUUUGUAAAACUCCAGAAUAAAAAGUCCCCAUUUAUAUCCCUUUAAAUAGAA